UAGGAUCUAUCUCACUUUACAGAAGCUC
rnacentral:piRNA from 1 species